CAGUAGCCGCGGUAAUACGUAGGUGGCGAGCGUUGUCCGGAAUCAUUGGGCGUAAAGGGCUCGCAGGCGGUUUCUUAAGUCUGAUGUGAAAGCCCCCGGCUCAACCGGGGAGGGUCAUUGGAAACUGGGAAACUUGAGUGCAGAAGAGGAGAGUGGAAUUCCACGUGUAGCGGUGAAAUGCGUAGAGAUGUGGAGGAACACCAGUGGCGAAGGCGACUCUCUGGUCUGUAACUGACGCUGAGGAGCGAAAGCGUGGGUAGCGAACAGGAUUAGAUACCCCGGUAGUCCCUGUCUCUUAUAC
rnacentral:rRNA from 1 species